CGCGUGGUGGUCUAGCGGUUAGAACGCUGGCCUUGUAAUCCUGGGGUCUCGGGUUCGAUUCCCGGCGGUGCCC
rnacentral:tRNA from 1 species